rnacentral:lncRNA from 1 species
UUUACUCUUCCAGUUGCAUUCAACUGAUAAGAUAAAUGAAGUGAAACAUGGAAAUUGACAGUGUUCCUUCCAGGACCCCUUGAAUCUAAAAGGAGCAAACAUGUGAAGCAAGGUGAGACUGGUAAAAGAUCAAAUCUGCCCAGUAUCGACAAAUACCACAGGAGAAAUUUGGGCAGAGUUUCCAGUCAAUUCAGAAUUUCCUGUAAGCUGAAAAAUGCUCCCAAAAUAAGGUGUUCUUGCAUGCACUGAGAAAUGCUUCUUCUUAUGUACACUUCAACAGAGAAUAAAGCUGGAAGUGCACACUUAACAGUGUGUUGAGUUUCGAGCAGCUAGCACAAACCGUGUUGGAUUUCAAGUUCCAAUUGCCUUCAUCCCCAUAGGGAAAAAUGAAGUGAAACUUGAAAAUUCAAAGUGUUCCUCUCAGCAAACCAUUGAACCCAGGAAGAUCAAAUUUGGGGGUUAAGGUUAGCCUAGUGUAUGGUUAAAUACUCCCCAUUAUCAACAAAAUGUUCAGAAAAAAAUUUGGGUAAAGAUUCCAGUAAAUCAUGACAUUUUUGCAAAUUGUGGAACAGCUCCCCAAAGAAGGUUUCCUGAAUGUGCUGAGAAAUGCUUCUGCUCAGGGCUACCUCAAAAGGGAAUAAAGCAAAGAGAGCACACUGAGAACUAACUGAGUACAUGAAAUUUCAAGCUGCUACCACAAACCAUGUUGGAUUUCAAGUUGCAAAUGCAUUCAUCCCUGUAGGACACAACAAAAUGAAACAUGAAAAUUUAAAGCCUUCCUUUCUGCAAACCCUUGAACAUAGGAAUACCAAAUUUGGGGAGCAACGUGGGACUGGUGAACAGAUCAAUCCUUCCCAGUAGCAACGACAUCUGCAAGAGGAAUUUGGGCAGAGAUUCCAGUAAAUUCGACUUUUCUGCAAGGUGCCAAAACUUUCCAAUAGAAGAUUUUUCUUCAUGUGCUGAGAAAUGCUUCUGCUUCAAGCUACUUCAACAGGGAACAAAAGAGAGAGUGCAUACUGAGAACUAACUGACUGCAUGAAGUGUCAUUUAGCUAGCACAAAACGUGUUACAUUUCCAGUUCUAACUGCAUUCAUCCCUAAAGGGCAAAACGAAGUGAAAUCUAAAAAUUGAAAGUGUUCUUGCAAGCGAAACCUUGAACUUAGG